rnacentral:rRNA from 1 species
UUCUGUGGCCAUACCAGCCUGUCAUUGCCUGAUCUCACUAGAUCUCAGAAGCUAAGCAGAUCCGGGCCUGAUUAGUAGUUGGUUGGGAGACCACAGAAAUCCAGGUGCCACAGUGG